CCCGCUGAUGAGGUAGGGCUUGUGAAGGUAUCUGUGGAUUAUUAAGGUUACACAGAAGGAAGAAAACAAGGCCUUCUUCAGCAGUUUCAUGUCCUGUGGGAGCACAAAGGACCGUGGGAAGAAACCAAACUCUCGCUUGCCAAAACGCGUCUGCAUCUUGGACAGGUUCCGCCACAGACGAUCCUUCCGUCCUAUCUGAAAGGAACCUGGAAAGUGGUUCAGCUGUCAAACAGAAACAAAGAAUGUUAAACAUGGAUAAGCAGCGUUCAUAAACGCGCGCGCGCACACACACACACACACACACACACACACACACACACACA